AUGCCCCCACCCGUGGACACUGAGGGGGCCCCAGGGCUGUGGGGACAUCCGCUGCAUGCCGGGGUUUCGCCUCCCGUUCCCUCUUCUCCACAGUGCAGUCGUGCUGGAUGGGAAGAUCUACGCCACGGGAGGCAUCGUGAGCAGCGAGGGACCGGCCCUGGGCAACAUGGAGGCCUACGAGCCGACCACCAACACGUGGACCCUCCUUCCACACAUGCCCUGCCCCGUCUUCCGGCACGGCUGCGUGGUCAUCAAGAAGUAUAUCCAGAGCGGAUGAGGGCCCGGGCCAUGUGUGUGGGGCUGCGGGCACGGCUGGGGAGGCGGGCCACACAUAAUGCAACGCUCACCUCAAUGGCGAGAAGCGCAGAUCGACACCGCAGAACCCCCUGCACUGGACUCGAGAGCAUUCUCUACCUCGAAUGUAGAACAGUCGCCCGCACCCUGACGGCAGGGAGCCGCGCGCGGCUGGUGCUCCAUGCUAGGGAUGUUCGCGUGCGGGCUUGGAGUCACUCGUGCCCGUCCCAGAGUCCAGGCUUCAGCCAGCCCAGUAAUAAGCACAAUGAAACUCCACCCGUCCUCGGUCAUCGCGUCUUCAUGUUACACAGGGUGCGGGCGGCCGUCAGUGCCAGCGCAGCUGGAGCGUCUGCCUCCGAGGGCGGCCCAGCCAGCAUCCCAGCGGGAUGGAGUGCAGGCGAUGACUGACGAUGUGUCCAAUUCCCUUCCUCUCCUCAUCGGUCACACUGGAGCAAAGCUGGCAAUUUCUGUGAGCUCUCUGAACAGGGUUCUCUGGUACAGGAUUGUACAUAGCUAUGUUUAUUGGUUAGCUCUUGGUAUACCGUAAUAAAUCUAUUUAUAGACCUAGACUCA
rnacentral:lncRNA from 1 species